rnacentral:tRNA from 1 species
GGGGUUGUGGCUCAGUGGUAGAGCACCAGCUUAGCAUGCAUGAGGCACUGGGUUCGAUUCUCAGCACCA